rnacentral:rRNA from 1 species
UACGUAGGGGGGCUAGCGUUGUCCGGAAUCAUUGGGCGUAAAGCGCGUGUAGGCGGCCCGGUAAGUCCGCUGUGAAAGUCGGGGGGCUCAACCCUCGAAUGCCGGUGGAUACUGUCGGGCUCGAGUACGGAAGAGGCGAGUGGAAUUCCUGGUGUAGCGGUGAAAUGCGCAGAUAUCAGGAGGAACACCGAUUGCGAAGGCAGCUCGCUGGGACGUUACUGACGCUGAGACGCGAAAGCGUGGGGAGCAAACAGG